CCUACGGGAGGCAGCAGUGAGGAAUAUUGGUCAAUGGGCGGAAGCCUGAACCAGCCAAGUCGCGUGAGGGAAUAAGGCCCUACGGGUCGUAAACCUCUUUUGCCGGGGAGCAAGGGCGGGGACGUGUCCCGGCCCGGAGAGUACCCUGAGGAAAAGCAUCGGCUAACUCCGUGCCAGCAGCCGCGGUAAGACGGGGGAUGCGAGCGUUAUCCGGAUUUAUUGGGUUUAAAGGGUGCGUAGGCGGGCUUUUAAGUCAGCGGUAAAAAUUCGGGGCUAAACCCCGACCGGCCGUUGAAACUGGGGGGCUUGAGUGGGCGAGAGGGAGGCGGAAUGCGUGGUGUAGCGGUGAAAUGCAGAGAUAUCAGGCAGAACCCCGAUGGCGAAGGCAGCCGUCCGGCG
rnacentral:rRNA from 1 species